GUGGAUCUUAAGCACACAACUGUGAAGCACACUACCCAAAAGCACUGUGCUUAAAGUCCAUGGUUUCUGCUGUUGGAAUAGUUUUGAAAAUUGCCACAAGAUGGAGUGACAUGUAAAAAUAAAAAAAAAAUACUCAUUUUCCGUGUGUUGCACCAAACAGAGUUGCAAAACCAAACCAUAGCUGCCGUUUCGCUAUACCUCAGAACUUAGGGAAUCUCUUUAAGUGUUGUGGACAAACUAUUUAAUUAAAUAGGUUUACUACUAAGUUAAGGAAUUGAAUACUUCUUUGUAUUGAUAUAAAUUUAAAAAAACGUUGAGAUAUGUCGCUGGGUACAGAUGAUGAUGCAUGACAGUUUCUACCUCUAGAAGAAAGCAGGGACAAUACCAUAGUAGAAUUUUAGCUAACCCACAAAUUGUAUAGUAACAUGUACACAAAGUGUUAUUUUCGUCAAUGUUAAAAUACACGAUGUUUCGGUAUCGCG